UCAAAUUUUAAAAAAGAAAAUGAUAAUCUAAUCGUAUAAAAAAAUAGGAAAGAGCGUUGAUUAAAAGAAAAGAAAAGGAAAGGGUAAGAAUGAAAAUUGAAUUGUUAAACGCAGUUUUAAAUCUCCACUAGCCCUUAAAGUAGCAGUGGGAAAAAUGAACUGCGUUGUGAUGAGAUUUUUGCACCAUUGUUAUCCAAACAACGGGGAGAGCUGCGAUUGCACGAUUAACCGAGCAAAUCUCACCGGAACGCAGGUGCGGUGGAAUCCAAAGGCAGCCUUAG
rnacentral:lncRNA from 1 species